rnacentral:rRNA from 1 species
AAUAGAUACCCGGGUAGUCCACGCCGUAAACGAUGAGUGCUAAGUGUUAGAGGGUUUCCGCCCUUUAGUGCUGAAGUUAACGCAUUAAGCACUCCGCCUGGGGAGUACGGCCGCAAGGCUGAAACUCAAAGGAAUUGAUGGGGGUCCCGCACAAGCGGUGGAGCAUGUGGUUUAAUUCGAAGCAACGCGAAGAACCUUACCAGGUCUUGACAUCCUCUGACAACCCUAGAGAUAGGGCUUCUCCUUCGGGAGCAGAGUGACAGGUGGUGCAUGGUUGUCGUCAGCUCGUGUCGUGAGAUGUUGGGUUAAGUCCCGCAACGAGCGCAACCCUUGAUCUUAGUUGCCAUCAUUCAGUUGGGCACUCUAAGGUGACUGCCGGUGACAAACCGGAGGAAGGUGGGGAUGACGUCAAAUCAUCAUGCCCCUUAUGACCUGGGCUACACACGUGCUACAAUGGACGGUACAAAGAGCUGCAAGACCGCGAGGUGGAGCUAAUCUCAUAAAACCGUUCUCAGUUCGGA